UGAUGCAGCCAUGCCGCGUGUAUGAAGAAGGCCUUAGGGUUGUAAAGUACUUUCAGCGGGGAGGAAGGUGAUAAAGUUAAUACCCUUAUCAAUUGACGUUACCCGCAGAAGAAGCACCGGCUAACUCCGUGCCAGCAGCCGCGGUAAUACGGAGGGUGCAAGCGUUAAUCGGAAUUACUGGGCGUAAAGCGCACGCAGGCGGUCAAUUAAGUCAGAUGUGAAAGCCCCGAGCUUAACUUGGGAAUUGCAUCUGAAACUGGUUGGCUAGAGUCUUGUAGAGGGGGGUAGAAUUCCACGUGUAGCGGUGAAAUGCGUAGAGAUGUGGAGGAAUACCG
rnacentral:rRNA from 1 species